CCUACGGGAGGCAGCAGUGGGGAAUAUUGGGCAAUGGGCGCAAGCCUGACCCAGCAACGCCGCGUGAAUGAAGAAGGCUUUCGGGUUGUAAACUUCUUUUAUCAGGGACGAAGCAAGUGACGGUACCUGAUGAAUAAGCCACGGCUAACUACGUGCCAGCAGCCGCGGUACUACGUAGGUGGCAAGCGUUAUCCGGAUUUAUUGGGUUUAUAGGGUGCGUAGGCGGAUUUUUAAGUCAGCGGUAAAAUGUCCGUGCUCAACCCGGGCCGGCCGUUGACAUUGGGGAUCUUGAGUGGGCGAGAAGGAUGCGGAAUGCGAGGUGUAGCGGUGAAAUGCAUAGAUAUCACGCAGAACUCCGAUUGCGAAGGCAGCAUACCGGCGCCCGACUGACGCUGAGGCACGAAAGCGUGGGGAUCGAACAGGAUUAGAUACCCUGGUAGUC
rnacentral:rRNA from 1 species